UGCUUAAAAUGCACAUGCUUGCUUUGUUUUAAUGUUUUGUGCAGUAGAUGACCUAUAGCACGUAUUAUGCUAAAGAAAAUUUGUGGUGAGCAAUCCUGACAUUGACCAUAAGGGCAUGAAGGAGGGCAGAUACUUCCUUAGGGUGAAACAAUGGAUGGUCUUGGAAAGCCAGAUCAUCCAUUAACAGAACUUUGUUCUGGCAUGAAAGCAUGCUGUUGAACCCAGGGGGAGUAUCUGCUAUCUUGAGAUGUCCUGGAGGCAAUGACAGGAUUGACUCAGAAAUUUUGCAUACCCAUAGGAGGAGGGUGAUUGUUCCUGGAAGGGAUGGGCCUGAAAUUAAUCAGUUAACCAGCAAGCAGAACUUAGUGCUUAUCGCAUGAAAUAUCCAAAGCCCCACAUCUUUGAUCACAUUUUUUUCUGAGCUGUAUACUCCUAAUAAAUAUAAUGUUGACCAGGCUUUCGGCACUCCAGAUCCACGAAAUGUCGAGUCCCCUGGUCCCAUCUUUGUUCUUUACUUUGUCUCUUUGUUUCUUAAGUCUUGCAUCGCCCGUCCUCAGACACGAUCCUGAGCUGCACUGGACACAGCAGAGGAGGCUCCACCAUCCACCUGAGUGGCUGAUGCUCUGGGAGGGGCCAGAUCAUCUGCACUACCACCAACUCUGUUUCAUUGUGUGAUUCCAGCCGUUUAUGCACAGGAGAGCAGGAGUGUAGCUUCAGCUUGUCCAUUUGAAAUCUGAGUGAUGUGAGAUUUGUGCCACAUUCUUGGCUUGCAUCUCCCGUCUAGUACUUCAGGAACUUCCAGAAUAGAUCUGGGCAGUAAAAAUGUGCCCUGCCGGGAUAUGUCUAUAACAGAGCCAUUCGACCACACGCUUGUGUUGUGCCUACCUUUAGUUGCUCUGAGAAUGAUCUAAGAAUUACAGGGCCAUUAUCAUUACUUAUGAAAAGGAAAAUAACCCAGAAGGUUGGUAUUCAAAGGCUAUGACAGAUGCAUUCCAGAAACUGCUGAUUGUGGUUUUAGAAAGCGGUAAAAUGGCUGUGGUGUACAGACCCUGUGAAGAGGUCACAGGUGCUAGGACUGAAGAGGACGUACAGGAUUUAAUUCAAGUCAGUUACUUUUCUUGGAAGCAGUGUGGCCAAGGGAAGGAAGAAUGUCUCUCAGAUUUCAGUUUUGAGGAGGAGGAGUUCAGAAGGCCGGAACUGGACUAGCCCUUUUGAAUUUCCCGGAAGGCUGGGCCCUGUGACUUCCUUGAGAAGCUCUGCACCA